AUUACUAUUCUAAACCAAAUCACACGGCGUCUUCACCGGCGAUUGGAUCUGGAGCUAUCGUCCUGGUUCAGAUGUCAGAUGAUGAAGACGAUGGGUGAUCGUGAUGGUGACACCCAGAGCUACAAGGCCAUGAGGAGUUCAAUAUGAUAUCACAAUGGUAUGAAGAAUAUCUGCUAUUGCCGGCGUGUUGUCUUUGUAGCAGCUCAUUGAGAAGUUAGGCUUUAAUAAUGUGACUGAUAAGCCAGCUGCACUUAAAAUGAUGAGAGAUGUAUGUGAAUCUGUUCUUGAAUCCUCUGAAAGGAAGCAAAGCUAGCACAUAGUGGCGGUGAUAUCUUGAAGAGUUACAGAGUGGCCGUGCGGAGGCAACUUGGGCAGGUUAACAAGGGAUUGCAUUGGAAUUAUUUCCGAUUAAGUAUUAGCUCUGGAUUACCACUAUUGCUGGUGUUAGUCCCGCUGUACUGGUGCCAUAGCUAUACUAUCUGGGUUGGCACUUCAGUUGAAUUCUGGAUUUAUUCUUUUGGUCUGGUUCUCUCCUUAUGAUUGUCUUCUACUGUAUGACCUGGUAUAUCAUACUUCAAAACAUGUUGGGCCUGUUUUUUUUGCGAUA